rnacentral:rRNA from 1 species
GAUGAACGCUGACAGAAUGCUUAACACAUGCAAGUCAACGUGAGUUUGGGUUUUUAACUUGGGUUUGGGUGGCGGACGGGUGAGUAACGCUUAAAGAACUUGCCGCACAGCUAGGGAACACAUUUGGAAACGAAUGCUAAUACCUAAUAUUAUGAUAAUGGAGCAUCGUAUAAUUAUGAAAGCUCUAAGCGCUGUGAGAGAGCUUUGCGUUCAAUUAGCUAGUUGGAGAGGUAACGGCUCACCAAGGCGACGAUGGGUAGCCGGCCUGAGAGGGUGACCGGCCACAAGGGGACUGAGACGCGGCCCUUACGCAAAAGGGAGGCAGGAGUGGGAGAUAUUGGACAACGGACCGAGAGUCUGAUGAAGCAAUUCUGUGUGCACGAUGAAGUUUGUCGGAAUGUAAAGUGCUUUGAGUUGGGAAGAAAGAAAUGACGUUACCAACAGAAGAAGUGACGGCUAAAUACGUG